GAUGAACGCUGGCGGCGUGCCUAAUACAUGCAAGUCGAGCGAACGGACGAGAAGCUUGCUUUUUUGAUGUUAGCGGCGGACGGGUGAGUAACACGUGUAUAACCUACCUAUAAGACUGGGAUAACUUCGGGAAACCGGAGCUAAUACCGUAUAAUAUUUUGAACCGCAUGGUUCAAAAGUGAAAGACGGUCUUGCUGUCACUUCUAGAUGGAUCCGCGCUGCAUUAGAUAGUUGGUAAGGUAACGGCUUACCAAGGCAACGAUGCAUAGCCGACCUGAGAGGGUGAUCGGCCACACGGGAACUGAGACACGGUCCAGACUCCUACGGGAGGCAGCAGUAGGGAAUCUUCCGCAAUGGGCGAAAGCCUGACGGAGCAACGCCGAGUGAGUGAUGACGGUCUUCGGAUCGUAAAACCCUGUUAUUAGGGAAGAACAUAUGUGUAAGUAACUGUGCACAUCUUGACGGUACCUAAUCAGAAAGCAACGGCUAACUACGUG
rnacentral:rRNA from 1 species